CCACAUGACUCUCGGCAACGGAUAUCUCGGCUCUCGCAUCGAUGAAGAACGUAGCAAAAUGCGAUACCUGGUGUGAAUUGCAGAAUCCCGUGAACCAUCGAGUUUUUGAACGCAAGUUGCGCCCGAGGCCUUUUGGUCGAGGGCACGUCUGCCUGGGCGUCACGC
rnacentral:rRNA from 1 species